rnacentral:rRNA from 1 species
UACGUAGGGUGCGAGCGUUAAUCGGAAUUACUGGGCGUAAAGCGUGCGUAGGCGGUUCGCUGUGUCCGAUGUGAAAGCCCCGGGCUUAACCUGGGAAUGGCAUUGGAAACUGGCGGGCUUGAGUGCGGCAGAGGGGGGUGGAAUUCCGCGUGUAGCAGUGAAAUGCGUAGAGAUGCGGAGGAACACCUAUGGCGAAGGCAGCUCUCUGGGACGGUACUGACGCUGAGACGCGAAAGCGUGGGGAGCAAACAGG